AUUGAACGCUGGCGGCGUGCCUAACACAUGCAAGUCGAUCGGUAACGCGGGGCAACCUGGCGACGAGAGGCGGACGGGUGAGCAAUAUUUGGGAAUCUGCCUAUUAGUGGGGGAUAACCCGGGGAAACUCGGGCUAAUACCGCAUACGCACUACGGUGGAAAGCCGGGGACCGCAAGGCCUGGCGCUAUUAGAUGAGCCCAAAUCGGAUUAGCUAGUUGGUGAGGUAACGGCUCACCAAGGCGACGAUCCGUAGCUGGUUUGAGAGAACGACCAGCCACACCGGAACUGGGACACGGUCCGGACUCCUACGGGAGGCAGCAGUGGGGAAUAUUGGACAAUGGGGGAAACCCUGAUCCAGCGACGCCGCGUGGGUGAAGAAGGCCUGCGGGUUGUAAAGCCCUUUCGGUUGGGAAGAACAGUAUUGACCUAACACGUCAGUACCUUGACGUAACCAACAAAAGAAGCACCGGCUAACUCUGUGCCAGCAGCCGCCGUAAUAC
rnacentral:rRNA from 1 species